rnacentral:rRNA from 1 species
UACAGAGGAUGCAAGCGUUAUCCGGAAUGAUUGGGCGUAAAGCGUCUGUAGGUGGCUUUUAAGUCCGCCGUCAAAUCCCAGGCUCAACUCUGGACAGGCGGUGGAAACUACCAAGCUGGAGUACGGUAAGGGCAGAGGGAAUUUCCGGUGGAGCGGUGAAAUGCGUAGAGAUCGGAAAGAACACCAACGGCGAAAGCACUCUGCUGGGCCGACACUGACACUGAGAGACGAAAGCUAGGGGAGCGAAUGGG